AGGCCUGAAAGGACCGCAACCCACCUGAGGGAAAGCAGGGCGUGUGUGUGCGUGCAGGUCUGUGCGUGGGGGGGCACCUCAUCGACGCAGCUGGGCACCUGCAAGCACAAGUUUCUGACAGAGGCACUAGGAGGAUUAACUGAAGUAAUGCAAAUAAAACGUGCAUUAAAAUAAGGCAAAGUAAACACAAAAUAACGCCCCACCCCAAAGUCCCUGCUACAAAGAAGACAUUUCCCCCAGGGGUUUCAAAUAUCAACGGCAAGAUCCCUUUUCUGGUUAAGGGGACAUUUUCCAAACACUUCUUGCCGCCUCGGUGGAAACCCCCUCCCCGCCAGGCUUGGGAUCCCAGAAAGACUCCUGGGCCACCCCGGUACCCUCCUGCGGAUUGACACGGGUCCUUCAAGUCCAGGAUACAGGUCAGACCCCAGUCAGAAGUCACUCCUCCCUCACCUGCCCGGCACCUGGGCACAAGGCACCGUCGGGGUUCUGGCAGAUGGAGCCGACCCCAGGGUGCAGGGCAUCCUCGCCGCUUUCAGCCCAGCACAGGAGGAUCCGCGGGGGUCCCAGCCCACGCUCCUCUUGCCCACAAGGCCAGGCAUCUCAGGGGUCACCCCACACCCCACUCACGACUUUGGCCAGAAAGAGAAGCUUGUCGCAUCCACCCCCAGCGCCAGGCCCUUCCCAGCACUCCCGUCUCGGCAGGAAUCCCCGCCGCUGUCUGGGAGCGACCCCCUCUGCCACCUCCGCCCCACAGGCCCCGCCCCUCCCAGGCGGGGCCACCGCAUCCUACGUCCUCUUGCUUCUGCUGGGCACAGAGCGCGUCUGGGCAUUCAGACCCAGACGCGGCCGCGCCUAACUGCGCUCUGUCGGCCACCUGCGGCCCCGCGGCCCUGACCCCGCGGCGCGGAAUCUGGGUUAGGAAGCCGGCGAGGCAGGUGGCAGGGGGCGCGGCUCCGAGGAAGUUGUGAGCCAGGAGCCCGGCCACGUGGAGUCUCAGAUCUUCUUUUGGUUUCCUUUCGACAAGCAGUUACUGGAUGUCUGGGUGUUGGCGGAAGUGUGAUGGAUAAUUCGAGACAUCGGAAUACAGAGCAGGAGGAAGGCUGUAUAAACCGGCCCCGAGGACACAGGACCCAGCGAACACUGGUUACGCGUUUGCUUUCCUGUCUCCAUGUGACCGCCUUCCAGCCUUUGAGGUCUCACAUCGCCACCCCAGCUGAAGAUAGCAUUUACAGGGAAAGUUUUGGCCAUUUUGGCGAGUUACUCAGUUUUCCUGGGUCUCUGCCAUGGAUAUGUUUUUAAACUUUUCUUUGAUUUUUGUUGUUGUUGUUGUUAAUCUAUCUCAGCUUCUGCUUCUGCUCCAUGGCUGGGCGACACACCGGAGUGGCUCUGGGUCUCUGUCUCUGCAGCGGAAGGAAGAUUGCAAGAUGUCAGCCGAGGGCCAAGCAGGUGGAAAAUAAGUCGUGUUAUCUGUCUGGCGGUUGAUCUCGCCAGCCCUGGGCUCCACUGCCAGAGGUGAGUCGUCCACAGGGGCUCUGUGGUUUAUGAGCUAACCAUCUCUUGCGGUGCCACCUCCCAACAGCACGCUUUUAGGUAAAAUAAUGUCCUUGUUGGUGUGUCUCGUUGCGGAUGUCAGUAGAAACAGAAGUGAAGGUUGGAAAUCCCCUGCCAGGUACCUGUGUUCCUGGUGCAGAACACGCAAGGAUGCUGGCAGUCGUGUUCAUGCGCCCGGGUGGUGUAUGGAGUGGGUCCUGGGGCACUGGGACAGAGGUUCAUUCAGCAAGUGUUCUAUCAUAGUGUGGCUUCCUGGGGGAGCCGAUUCCCAAUAAGGGAUUUGAGAGCAAGUCCUUUAUUGGGGAGCUGAAGUGAGGAAGUAAAACAGAGAAUGAAGGAGGCCACUAAAGGGGGGGCUUGUCAAGUCAGCUGCCCCUGAGGGGGCGUCACCAUGCUGGGAAACUUCGGGAUCCAGUGCAGAACGCAUGGCUCAGAGCUACCCCACCCACGGGACUUCUGUCCUGCUGCCGCAGUAGGCAGAGCCGGCUUUGGUGGCUCAAGGAAAUACCCAGACAAAGGGGCACAGGUCCUGGUGGCUGGAGGUGGGACCAGCCUGGACUGAGGUGACGAGAACUAGAGGCUCUGGUGGGACAGUGACAGCAGCUGCUAUGUGUUCCUUGAGGAUGUCCUGUGUGCCAGGCACAGUCAUGGAAUGGGCACUGAGACGGAUUUUGUCUCUGUUUUCACGGCACUUGGAGCUGGUGGAGGAGACAAACCGGUAACCAGGCAGCGCCUCAAAGACGGGGAAUCAUGUGAUGGUGGAAGAGAGGAGCACAUCAGGGAAGGGCUCCGAAGCCACACCCGUGUUGGGACCUGCACUUGUCCCAGCCGGGAGGAGCAGCAGGUGCAAAGGUCCUGAGGCACGGUCUCCGGGAUGAAUCGAAGUGUUCUGGGGCAAAGGGGACGUGGUCCUGAUGCAGGUAAAGGCCUACGUGGGAGGAUAGAAGGUGAUAAUGGAGAGAUGCACAGAUUGGGAGAUAGAGUGAUAGAUGGAUAGAUAGAGAUGGACGGAUGGCUGGAUAAACGGCCAGAGAGGUAAUAGAUAAAGGAGUGAGCUGGACAGAUGGGUGGAUGGAUGGAUGGAUGAUGGAGGGAGAGAGGAAUAUUCGACAAGGCCCAGAAGGGUCAGGAGGCGGAGGACUUUGGAUGUCGGGAUAAAUAGUGUGCUGGCGUCUGAGUGCAGAUCCACGCCUGAGGUUGAGGUGAGAAGUUUGGGGCAGAAGGCAGGUUGCAGAGAUGCAGAUCAAAGAGUCUAGGCUAAAGUGGGGACCACGGUAGGAGAGAAAGAAAUAAAUUUGAGACACCGCAGACCCCAGGCGGGACAGGCAGCAGUUGGGGAGAGCGUCUGGAGUGACGAGAAGGGCAGCAGAGGCAAAGUUCAGAGUCUGGGUUUCGGGAGGAAGAGGAGCCCUCGAAGCAGACGGCAAACCUCUGUCUGUCUGUCCACAGUCAGGUCAGAGCUCGGUGGCGGGACCGUUUCAGGUCCGCGAGGUCCCGAACGUGGGCCGAUCCUCAGCGGUGCUGGUGAGCGGGGGGAGGCGGGACAGACGCUGAAGAUUACGGCAAAGAGAAGCUCGGAGACUUGGGGUGGGUUUUGCUCAUCUGUGUCGCGGAGGCCUCGACCCCGAGAGCUGCCCCUGUUCCUGUCCCCAGUGGUGACAAGAGUGACAUCGCCUCCAUGAAACCUGUGCUGCCCCGCUUCAUUAAGAGGAGAGAGAGAGAGAGAGAUGGCCUUUCAGGUCAGGAUGUUACAGGGAUGAGAAAGGAGACAGUAAGAGAAAAACAGCCCCGCAGCGCACCAUUCAUCCCACUCUCUCUCUCCCUCAUCUCGCCCAACUGGUACCCGAACGUUGGGGAUAAGAAGUGUGGGCGCCGGCGGGUGGCACCUGUGGCAGGUCUUCUCCCUCCGCGACACAGGAAUCAGUACGGCCACGUGCUGGUCUCCCCGUAACCCCCGUUCUUUACUCUGGGGAGUCGGGGCUCCACGCUGCUCGCGUUCCCAGGGCCGCAGCCAGACGCCUGGUGCAGUUGCUGCAGACUCAGAGGCAUCUCUCAGAAACCCGUGACCGAGGUCCUUCUGCUGUUACAUCCGAGGCUGAGGCCGCCCUUGCCCGGCGCGUCUCCCCUGGUCCCUUCGUCCUCCUGUGGAAGGCGCUGUUGACCAUCACCCGGAAUCCCGGCUCCCGGCCGCAGAGGAGUCGGGUCAGGCUUCGUUAGGACUCACACGCGUUCCUGCUUCAUCCGGUUCGUGGGAAGUUCCCCGAGCAUCUCAGGGCUGCAUGUGGGGCCAGACAGAUGGGGAACGGCCCAUCGGCCACCACGGCCCAUCCGCCUGUGACCCGUCCUAAGGAGCUUCAGUGUAGGGGCUGGGGACGUGGGAAGGGGUCAUGACGUGGCUCUAGGGCUCCCGAAACCAAGUGCCGUAGGUGUGGGCGGGGCGGGGGCGUGGCGCUCAAACACAGAAAUUUACCGUCUCCGCGGGCUGAGUCCAGAAUCAAGGCAGGUGUCACGAGGAGGGGACACGGACCAGGAAGCGGGAGUAGGACACUGACAGGUGGAGAGAGGCCUCCAGACGGGGAGCAUCGUGAUACUAUGACCUCUUUAGAGAAAAAUAACAGGAAAGGCUCUGACCUCAGGGGCCGUGUGGCUCCAGACCACAGAGUGUCCGUGUCACGAAUACUGAUGCGAUCACAGCUAAAUCCCAAGCAGUGCUGACCCUGUGCCAGGCGCCUGGCAUGAGCUGAGCAUGAACUUUCUCUUAACUCUGCAGCCUAACGAGGCCAGGGAGGGCAUGGCCUUUCUUGCACCGACAGGCAGCUGGGCUUCGGACAGUCCAAUGACAUGCCCAAGGUCCCACAGCUGGCAGCCCUUGCCCCAGGCCUGUGCCCCACAGCCCAGGCCCUGCCCUGCCGCUGGCAGACGGGGUCUGAUCCCUUGCAAGGCUGCCCAAAGUGGCUGAGCUCUUAAAAUAAAACAGAUUCUCAGAGCCCACCCCCAGAAAUGGGAUUUGGCGCGUCUGGGGAGAGGCCACUGCUGUGCGUUCAGAGCCUUCGUGGUGGUUCUGAUGGGAAACAAGGACAGAAGUUCUAGCUUUGUGGGGUGGAUUCUGUGCUGACCAACUCCCCCCCCAGCGGGGGAGGGGGGUCCUUGAAGUUCCAUCUUGGUGGGAAGGAGGCGCGGCAAAACCUAAAAGACGGGGCUUCUGUGCUUGGUUCUGCCGCCAACCAGCUGUCUGCUUUUGGAUGAGUCCUGUGGUCUCUCUGGGGUUUAGUUCUUGGUGUGUCACAGUGGGUGUGGACCAGAGGACCCCUGAGAUGGCCUCGGGCUUCAUCAGGCGACUGAUCCGCUGAGCUGCAGCAUCAGGAGAUGACAGAUUCCGUAACGGAAGCUGAGACGUCUGUGUGCGUUUUCUCAGGCUCCGGAAACCAAGUACCAUAGCCGGGCCUGAAACCACAGAAACUCAGCGUCACUGCUGCGGAGGCUGGAGUUUAAAACCAAGGUGUUGCUUCUGCGCCGGAAGGGAGACUCUGCGCCCGGGCUGCCCCCUGCCUCAGAUGGCCCACGUCUCAUCUCCAGGAAAGAGCACCAGCACCCCUGCUCCCUGCCAUGGGGGAGCACGUCCACUCCAGGGCCUGCCGGGUGGGCACCAGCACGCAGCUGUCUCUCUGCCCCCUGACCCGGGGGUGCCUGGGAGCCUGGCCACCUGGCUCCAGGUGAGGCAGCAGCCUGCCCCUGUGGCUGGGGAGCAGGGAAUCCGCAGACUCCAUCAUGUCUUCUGGAGGGAUCGCUGGCUCUUGGCUCUUCUCGCCUUGGUCCCUUCCGUGGGGACCCCGCAUAAUGUGGGGUCAGGAGGUGUGGGGAGGGGGGACGUGGUCUGGGGCUCAGACAGAACAGGCCUAAGGGGUUUAGGAGCAUCCCGGUGGCCUCGCCUCCCAGCACCCACAUUUACACAUGGCUUCUCUGCAGUCCUGAGGCUCCAGCCAUAUCCUCUGACCUCUUCUCAGCAAGGCAGGUGCCAGGGAACGUCCAGGCUCCUGGGAGAGCCUGUGCUUCUCCCUCAAGAGUAGGAGGGAUUGUUCCAGAAGCUCAGGCGCCCGAGCACAGCCCCAAGUGCUGGCAGUCAUGACGGGUGUCCACCAGCCUCCUUAGGAAGACGUCCACCAGCUGCGGACACUUAAAUGUGCAAAAUAGGGCGCAUGUUCAAGGUGAUGGGCCGGUUCCUGCAGGGCCAGAGAAAGGGCGCCUCAGCUUCCAGAGCCGCUCCACUGAUAGCCAGGGAAUUCUACAGAGGCGAGGGCUCUGCUUUGCCGCAGGGUAAGGCAUUUAAAUGUUCUGAAGCCCAAAAGUGACUUCUAGAUGUGGUGGUGUGAACUUGGGGAGGCAGCUAGGACUUUAGCACCAGGCAAGCAGGGCCGAGGUCUUAAGUGGGACCCCAGACCAGCAGUAUCUGCACAGCGUGGCCUGGGAACUUGUUAGAAAUGGGAAUGCAGACCUGGGGCGGGGGGCGGGGGUGUGUGUGCCAGGGGUCAGGACCCCCCCAGGACAGAAGUCCGCACGUGGGGUUCAACGGGUGGUGUGGAUAAUAGAGAGUGAGAAGCUGUGUUUAGUUCACCACGACUGGCUUCCUGGGAGCAGUCGUGAGUUGGAGGAAGAAAAGGAGCCUAUGAUAAAAAUGGAAGGCAUACAUCCUUCCGGAACCCAAACAAUGCAACCGGAGUAACUUCCGGAACACAGCUGGGAGGCAGAGGCAGCAGGGAGGCUGGCCAGGUCCUGGCUGGGGGGACAGCCCCCUCUGGGGACUGUCAUCAUCGAUGCAUUGGUUCAUUCACAAAGAUUGGGGCGUGGAUGACGCGUCUCACGGGGUGUGCUCAGCCGACAUCAGGAUGCGAAUGGGUGUUUGCGCUGAGAAGCAAGGGAACAGGGUGAGAGGAGAGGGCGCUGGACAGACAGACGCUGGGCUCAGAGCUGGAAGCCAUCCGUAAAGCCCCAGCAGCCUCCGAGCCCAGGCCUCUGGAAGCACCUGGACGGGACCCGUCCGUCUCGGGCAUUCGCCCCGAAGUCAUCCAUGUGUCACAAGGCAGUGCACUUAUCUGGGUAAGAGUUCUGUCACAGUGAAGAGCUGAGUCACACCCGUCUCCUCACUAACAAGUUGCGGAAACAUGAAGCAGAGACGUUACAGUAAAAAUGGUGGAAGCUGGAGGCCCCCGAUGGCUCAGCGGGGUCAGGAUCUGGUGUCCUCACAGCUGUGGCUCGGGUUUGAUCCGUGGCCCAGGAACUUCCGGACUCUGAGGGUGCGGCCAAAAAAGAAAAAAAAAAAAAACUGGUGGAAGGAGUGUAUUUGGCACCUUUCUGUCUUAUCACCAUCGUGUGCCUUCCAACCCCUUCUCAAUGAUAAUGUUUUGAAUUUGACUGUGGGACGCUAAAAUGAAGCAACAGUGGAGUGUCUUGGUUCAGGUGUGACUGUUUGGGUGACAAGCUGUCAUUUCUUUUUCCGUGGGGAAAAAGAAUUAGUCUCCUCUUUGCGGUCCUGUCUGCGCUCAGGUGAUCCCAGCCCCAGAAGCAAGAGGCAUCUCAGUCUGUUGUGUCAUAUUGUCUCUGCAUCAUAACUUUUAGAUCAUGUCAGAUGGCCGUUUAACCAUCACCACCCUCAAUUAAAAAAUUGUCAAGAGUUUAAUGGGGCCUUCAAAAUCCAUUAGUUCAAAUAACGCAUUAUUGAAGGGCCGUCCCUCAACCACUAAAGCCGGCUCCAUGAGACAAUUUCACCGAGAGGCUCCAGGGAAAGUGCAUUUCAUUUAAGCAGCGUUUUGCUUGCCGUCUAGGAUUAUCAUAAAUGGGUAGGGAAUUCCUUGAAAUAAGGCUUAUUCUGGGCAUAGUCAAUCUGCUUUCAACCUUUGUGUACAAAUAGGGAUGUUUGUCAGAUAAGCUGGUUCUUUGCAGGGCGGGUUCCCCCCCACGAUUGUUUGGCAGUUAGUAGGCUCUAGCUUAACACAUUUUGGAAGGUUGUAGACAGGGUUCCAGGCUCAGGAUGGGCUCCGGUGUGAGCUGGGCAGAGAGGGACCUGCAAAAAUAGCACCUCUAAGCCCAGUGUGGCAGUUUCAAGUGCUGCCGGAGUGCGUCUUUGUCUAGCUGGAGGCUGCGCCGGGGUGAGUGACGUUUCAGUAAACUAGACCCGGCCACAGGCGGGCACGGGCACCAGAGCCAGGUUUUGGAGCUGCGGUGCAGAAAACACAGGCUGGGAGAGAAGCCUCGCAUGGGUCCUGAAGGACCUCAAGACAGGACCCAGUAAACAUGUGCGGAACCAGCCAGUGAAGGAGGUGCUGCAUCUGACUCCUGGAAGCCUCUUGUUACCCUCAGAAGCCCAGGACCCGCCCCGGCCAGCUGGCCAUCACUCACCACCGCAUUCUGGGGAGCUCUGGGGCAUCCUGAGCCUGUUGUGGAAGGAUGCCAACUUAGAACCGGUGAGCUGGCAGGAGGAGCAGCUAUUACCACUGCUCAAGGGGAGUGGGGGGUCUUCUGGGUUUCCAUCUGGGAAAACGCUUAUUUUUUGGCUGCCCGUGGCAUGCAGAAAUUCCCGGGCCAGGGAGCAAACUCAUGCCCCACCAGUGAUCCUUAACCCACUGAGCCACCAGGGAACUCCUAUAUUUUAGUUUGGUGUUAAAAGCACUUAUUAAGCCCCGGAACGCCUCUGAAGCUGAUAAAGGGUGACAACAACCAGUGGACUUCUUUGCUGCCAUGGCACCCAUUUGUACAAAAUCGUCUCCCCACGUGCGCCAAACACGCACCCUGCACAUGUGGCCCAAGAAGCAAACACUUCACUGAGCCUCUAGAGUCGACGCCUCCCAACGCCAUCCCACCAGACACUGAUGGUGACAUUACUAUGCAGCCAGGCGGGAGAAGCCAGAGGGUUUAUCUUGGAUCUCCUCCUGAACCUCCUCCUUGGGGCCAUCGCUCUGGCGAGGCCCUCCAGCCUCAAGCUCGGAUGGGACCUCAACCCCAGACACUGGGUGCCAGCAUCAUGAGAGCCCAAAUCACGUUCAAGAUGAAGAGCUCGGAGGACCAGGGCAGUGAAGGCAAAGGGGGAUGCGAUGAGUCAGCAUGUAGCGCCCUGCCGGGAAAGCAGGGUCGAGAAAACAGUACAGGAGAAGGGGUUACAGCAGGAGUUUCCCCGGGAGAGCCCCCUGGCCUGGAACUUCCUCGGCCAAACGAAACAGAAGUAAACUACAAUGUACACAAAUUGAGGAGCCAGAGUUGAAAACACCCAGGGUGGGUGCCCAGGAGAGGGGAACGGGGUGCCUCUGACCACCCCUGCAACCGCAGCUCCAGUGCCCCCAGACAGGCUUCUAGGUCCCAUCACCCAGCUGGAGGGGCAAGGAUGGCUCUGGCUGUCCUGUGGGCCAGGGACCAUCCACUCCCAGAAAGAGAGUGAGCGACGCUUGGCUGGGAAGCUGCCCUGAGCGAUGCAGGUGGCCCCACAUCCCCAGAGUGCACAGGCCGCCGGCUUCCAGGAGGACCUUCCGCCCCACGUCCUGUCACUAAACAGAUGCACCGCCUCCCCCUGCCCCCAGGCCCUGGCUGACUCUGCCACCCGUGUGGUCACAGGCCGCCGUCCUUUCUGGGGUCAGGAAUGGCUCAGCUCCCCAAGGGGACCCUCCUCAAGUCCAUCCUUUGCGGUCAGAGUCCUGGUCAAGGCAGGAAGGCUAUUCUGAGUAAUAUUCUCUCCCGCCCCUUGAGCCCCCGCAGCGCUGCUUCUCACUUAGGAUGGCAUAGCUCUCAGUUCUGGAGAAAAAAAAACAAAAAACAAACCAAACCGCUUUCUCAAGGGCAGUGGGGAUUUUGCUGCCUGUGCUGCCCAUGCAGCCUGCAGCCCGGGUGGCUCCUGUCACCUCUGUGAGGACUGCAUAGCCCGAGACAUGACAGGGGGCCUGAACUCCUAACACGGCAGUGACAUUCCAGACAGGCUGUGAACAUCUGCAGUACAUUUGAACAGAUAAAAAUUCCUGAUUAAGUGACGAGCUGGCGGUAUUGUGAACACAUGGGGAAAUGCUACCCAAAGGCCACCUGUCCCCAGCUGACCACACUCCCAGUGCCUUGACCUCGCGGGAAGUCAGCCUCCCCGCCCCCCACCGUCUCCCCCACCCGCGGGUCUCGAAGGACCGGGGGGGCAGCACAUUUUCCCAGCCCCAGCCCCUCUGGCUGGAGCUGCUGCGAGGCCGCUGGUCAGGAUGCUGACCAUCCCAGGGUGGAGAAGGGGCGGGCGGAGCGGAAAGCAGCGAUCGCUGGCCCGCAGGACUUACUUUUAUCUCCGGCCCCAGCAGGCCUGGCGGAAAGCUCUGGGUCUGCUGUCUGAAGGCCCGGGUCAGAGAUUCCGUCUCCUCCCAGCUGCCCGGCUGCUGAGACCCCACCCCCACCCCGGGACCUGCCUGAGCCUCCUCUUCUGUGAAGCAGGGGCUGGACCAGACCGGGAGUCUGGCUCCCAAACUAGAGAGUUUGUCAGGUUCAUCUGGGCACCAUGCGGAUGACAAGGACACCGGGGCAACUCCCAGAAGUUGACUUGAAAGCUCCCUGUGGAUGAUGCUGCGACGGCCUCUGGACCACAGAUGGGAGAACGCUGGACCACACAGCAGCCUUCCGGCCUCGGGCGUCUCUGAUGGGGCCCGGUUCUGUUACGGACCUGGAUUCUCUCUGGUUGGCUUGAGGCUCCAUUUCUUUUAAUAUACACAGACUAUUGUUUAAUUAAAAGGGAAUUCACAGUC